GCCUAACACAUGCAAGUCGAGGGGCAGCAUGGCGGUUGCUUGCAACCGCCGAUGGCGACCGGCGAAUGGGUGAGUCACGCGUGUCCAACCUGCCCCUGUCCCGGGGAUAGCCCUUGGAAAUGAGGAUUAAGACCCGAUAUGUGCGGCGCCCGCAUGGAUGCCGCAUGAAACCCGGACAGGGAUGGGGACGCGUCGGAUUAGCUUGACGGCGGGGCGACGGCCCACCGUGGCGACGAUCCGCAGGGGUUCUGAGAGGAAGGUCCCCCACACUGGCACUGAGACACGGGCCAGACUCCUACGGGAGGCAGCAGUGAGGAAUAUUGGUCAAUGGGCGUAAGCCUGAACCAGCCAAGUAGCGUGCAGGACGACGGCCCUACGGGUUGUAAACUGCUUUUGCGGGAGGAUAACCGGCGCCACGUGUGGCGCCCUGCAGGUAUCCCGUGAAUAAGGACCGGCUAAUUCCGUGCCAGCAGCCGCGGUAAUACGGAAGGUCCGGGCGUUAUCCGGAUUUAUUGGGUUUAAAGGGAGCGCAGGCGGAGGCGCAAGCGUGCCGUUAAAGUGCGGGGCUCAACCCCGUUUUGCGGCGCGAACUGC
rnacentral:rRNA from 1 species